rnacentral:rRNA from 1 species
GAUGAACGCUGGCGGCGUGCUUAACACAUGCAAGUCGAACGAUGAAGCCCAGCUUGCUGGGUGGAUUAGUGGCGAACGGGUGAGUAACACGUGAGUAACCUGCCCUUAACUCUGGGAUAAGCCUGGGAAACUGGGUCUAAUACCGGAUAGGAGCGUCCACCGCAUGGUGGGUGUUGGAAAGAUUUAUCGGUUUUGGAUGGACUCGCGGCCUAUCAGCUUGUUAGUGAGGUAAUGGCUCACCAAGGCGACGACGGGUAGCCGGCCUGAGAGGGUGACCGGCCACACUGGGACUGAGACACGGCCCAGACUCCUACGGGAGGCAGCAGUGGGGAAUAUUGCACAAUGGGCGCAAGCCUGAUGCAGCGACGCCGCGUGAGGGAUGACGGCCUUCGGGUUGUAAACCUCUUUCAGUAGGGAAGAAGCGAAAGUGACGGUACCUGCAGAAGAAGCACCGGCUAACUACGUG